GAUUUUGGUCCCUAUUUUUAAAAAAAUUGAACCUGAGGGGUUGUUACAAUUAUAGGAGAUUUAAACUCCUCAGCC